rnacentral:rRNA from 1 species
UACGUAGGGUGCAAGCGUUAAUCGGAAUUACUGGGCGUAAAGCGUGCGCAGGCGGUUGUGCAAGACAGGUGUGAAAUCCCCGGGCUUAACCUGGGAACUGCACUUGUGACUGCACAGCUGGAGUACGGCAGAGGGGGAUGGAAUUCCGCGUGUAGCAGUGAAAUGCGUAGAUAUGCGGAGGAACACCGAUGGCGAAGGCAGUCCCCUGGGCCUGUACUGACGCUCAUGCACGAAAGCGUGGGGAGCGAACAGG